AUGGCUGUUGUGUUGAGGUAUGUUGAUAAGCUUGGGUUAAUCCUAGAACGACUAGUUGGGGUAGUACAUGUGAAGGAAACAUCGACAACGUGUCUCAAGUCAGCCCUUGAGAAAUUGCUUGUUGAUAUUGGAUUAAGCUUCAAACAAGUUAGAGGGCAAUGCUAUGACGGGGCGAGCAAUAUGAGGGGUGAGUUCAAUGGUUUGAAAGCUAAAAUUCUGGAAGAGAAUAGGUCAGCAUAUUACGUGCAUUGUUUUGCUCACCAAAUCCAAUUGGUUAUCGUAGCGAUUUCAAAGAAGAAUGAAGAUAUUGCAGAUUUCUUUUACAUGAUUUCUCUUCUAUUUAAUGUGGUUGGAGCUUCUUGCAAAAGAAAAGACAUGAUCAGAGAGACUAAUAGAGAGAAUGUAAAAAAAGCCAUAAGUGUUGGGCGAAUUAGUACCGGCACAGGGUUGAAUCAAGAUCAAUCACUUCAAAGGGCGGGUCUUGCUAAAAAGUUGGUGGAUACUAAGAAGCAUCUUGCUUUCCCUUUGGUGUAUCAACUUCUAAAGCUAGUGCUAAUUUUGCCGGUUGCCACAGCGUCAGUGGAGAGAUGCUUUUCAGCAAUGAAUAUUGUGAAGAGUGUUUUACGCAACAAAAUGGGUGACCAGUUCAUGAGUGAUUGCUUGAUUUGCUAUGUGGAGAAAGAUAUAUUUGCUACCAUUACGAAUGACGCCGUAAUUGAUCUAUUUAAGAAGAUGGGAGAUCGAGAAGGCAAGUUAUAA
rnacentral:rRNA from 1 species